UGUCUAUCUAGUGUAGUAAGAAUUUUGCGAUUUGUUUGUUUUUUAUAGCUGUCGAGCUAUAGAUGACGUCAUCAACAAUAAAACGCGAAUUUCUGCUUAUUGUGCACACUUUGAUUAUUUUGUUUGCAUUAUUCUUUACGUUCAUAUGAAAGAAAUUAAUAUGUGUGUAGAUGUCUAGAUGUGUGCAACGAAAGUCGAUUUCUAAAGACAUUUAAACCUUCUGCAUUGCAGCCCAAUACAGAUAACAAUUCAUUAAAGAAAAUCAGCAAAUGAAAAUGAAAUAUUUGCUAAUGAAUUCGGUGCACAAACUCAAAUGGAUGAAAACUUCAAACAAAAGCCAAGAUUAACUUGUGAUAUAUGAAAAGACUUCAUAUACUAGCAGUAACUAAUGGUAUAGAGCAAAUAAAUUUAAUUUUAUAUGAUUAAUGUCAUUUAUGCCAUGUUAAGAAUAUGAGUGGAACCAAGAUUUCUGCAAGCUAUUUUACGCUGAGAAAAUUUGUGAAAUGGGAAAAAGCAUAAAAAUAGAAUAAACAAUAUAGUAAGCGUCUGACUAAGGAUUUCCUCAUAUUCGCACAAAGAGGAUUUCCUUAAGUGUGAAGCGAAUCGUCACAAUUUAAGAAGAUCAAAUCUGAGAA